rnacentral:rRNA from 1 species
UACGAAGGAUCCGAGCGUUAUCCGGAUUUAUUGGGUUUAAAGGGUGCGCAGGCGGGAAAUUAAGUCGGCGGUGAAAUUUUGCGGCUCAACCGUAAAAGUGCCUUCGAAACUGGUUUCCUUGAGUGUAGAUGAAGUAGGCGGAAUUUGUGGUGUAGCGGUGAAAUGCAUAGAUAUCACGAGGAACUCCGAUUGCGCAGGCAGCUUACUAAGCCAAAACUGACGCUGAGGCACGAAAGCGUGGGGAUCGAACAGGAUUAGAUACCCCUGUAGUCCCUGAG